AAACCGUGUGGCGGCGGCUACCUCGGCUGUUUUGGCCUCCUCGCGUUUCCUCAGUUUCAACCCUCGAGUUCGUGACUACCAAUUCCUCUUUGAGGAUGUCUUGGAAUUGUACAAGCAUUA
rnacentral:ribozyme from 1 species